AGGCAGGACUCCCCAAGGAGGGCUCACAUCCAGGAAGGCAAUGGCCCAGUGUGGUGGGCACAGUGCUCUCUGGUGAGGAAGGCUCCAAAGCUGCUCCUGCUCUGGAAAGAAGGCAGAGACUCAGCAGUGCUCACAGGACUCCAGGAGCUGCUGCUUUAAAGAGAAACCCAGCUUUAGAAAGAAAAUAAGGUCCUGUCUUCAGUGAAGCUGGUCUUGUCCCUCACCUGCCUGUCCCCUCUGCUGCUGUGGUCCUUGAGGGAUUCACCAGCACAUCCUCACCCUCCAUAGCUCCAGCAUGGCCAAGGAAACCCAACUCAACAGCCAUUCCUGCAAGGUGACCUGCUUGGGAGGAGAGAUCCAACCCCAGGCACAAGCCAUGGUAUUCAGUCUAUUACAAAUCAAGAAGGGACAGGCAAAAG